GGUUAAGCGACUAAGCGUACACGGUGGAUGCCCUGGCAGUCAGAGGCGAUGAAGGACGUGCUAAUCUGCGAUAAGCGUCGGUAAGGUGAUAUGAACCGUUAUAACCGGCGAUUUCCGAAUGGGGAAACCCAGUGUGAUUCGUCACACUAUCAUUAACUGAAUCCAUAGGUUAAUGAGGCGAACCGGGGGAACUGAAACAUCUAAGUACCCCGAGGAAAAGAAAUCAACCGAGAUUCCCCCAGUAGCGGCGAGCGAACGGGGAGGAGCCCAGAGCCUGAAUCAGUGUGUGUGUUAGUGGAAGCGUCUGGAAAGGCGCGCGAUACAGGGUGACAGCCCCGUACACAAAAAUGCACAUAUUGUGAGCUCGAUGAGUAGGGCGGGACACGUGGUAUCCUGUCUGAAUAUGGGGGGACCAUCCUCCAAGGCUAAAUACUCCUGACUGACCGAUAGUGAACCAGUACCGUGAGGGAAAGGCGAAAAGAAC
rnacentral:rRNA from 1 species